CAAUGAAUUGGAUAAGUAGGGAUAUCUCAUGAAACUAUUUUAAAUGAAUCCUCCACAUGAGAUAGUAAUUCCACUACGAGACUAUUUUAUACCACUCUCUAUAUAGGAUAAUAAUCCCGUUAUUUUAGUUCAAAUUCUGAGAUAAAAUAGUCCCGAGACUAGCUUUCUUAUCCGGUGUACCGAAAGACCCCUUAAUGACUAAUUAGGCUUCAUACCAAUUCAACUAACUUUGUGAAGCAACGAAGAAGACAACAUAAAACUCAUUAGAGUAAAAAAGCACUCAUUCACAUGAUAUUUGCAUUCAAAAAGCCAGAAAUUAUGGGAAAUGUUAAUUUUUUGGUGAAACGCUCUAUGCAUCACCUUUUUCCAUCCAACACCAUUGUCCUCCUUCAAUUUACUCUCCUCAAAAACAUCAAAACUUGAAAACAAAAAUGUGCAAUUCACAGUCAAAGAAACCAAAAUGGAAGAUGAAAUUAUCUUCCAAAAUAUUCCUAUGUCCUAUAUAAUAAUAAUAAUAUCACCUAUCAUGAAGGUUACUACUAUGUUUUCUUUGUCUCAUGUGUUUUCUGAAUUUUGAGUGAUCCAUUAUUUAAUUUUUUUUUGGUAUGUCAUUCUUGAAUUCUGAUGAAAUGGGGUUUCAAAAUUGUUUAUGCUAGUGGAAAAAAUAAUUUAACGAACAAACUCUAGAAGUUAGUUUCAGCCUAUCGAGGACAUGAAGGGUAAUCUACUAGAGUUUGUUCCGGAGCCACCAACAACUGAUGGUUGCAAGCUAUGCGAUGGAGAUGUCCUAGUGUCAACCCCAUGGCACACUCCAAAGGUGCCCUCUGCUGGUACAACGAGUUGGUCUUCUAUACUUUACAGGAACUCAACCUUGCCAGGAAAUGUACUAUUGAACUCACUACCAACAGCAGCACCAACCGGGAAUAUCUCAGGGUUAACAACUGAUGGUCCUUUAAUAGCAUCAGCCGUGCAGUUUGUCACUGGCUCUGGUAAAGGUAGCAUCCCUGUGUCGAAAGCUUCAGUCACAUAGUCGGUGAUUGGCCAGUGUAAUUGUCCUCCACAUGUUCCUUUCAACUCGUCAGAUUUGUCCUUGUGAAGGUUCAGUAAUAUCAGCAGCACUAUUGACAUCAUUUGUCCAAUUUGGGACAACUCUUCAGGUACUUUCCUUUUUGUGUCAAGACCUCUCACUGAAGAUCCAACAAUAUGACUAAGGCGGAAGACAAAGCAUUUGAAAAUGCUUAUUCUGGAGAUGGAAAUUAAAUUCUGAAGAUUGCUGCUGCGAUUCCUGGGAAAUCUCUUAAACAAGUUAUUGAACAUUAUCUUGUAUUAGUUGAAGAUAUUAACGAUGAUUCUGAUAUAAUUCUGCCACCUAAUAUCGAAGAAUGCAAAGUUCUACCAAAUGGGAAAAGGGAUUCCUUGGACUGCAAAGGAGCACAGGUUGUUUCUCCAGGUGUUGGCGAUAUAAGGAAAGAGUGAUUGGCGGUCUAUAUCAAGGAACAUUGUGUUAUCUAGAACACCAAUACAGGUGGCAAGCCAUGCCCAGAAGUUCUACACUCAAUUCAACGACAUUAACAACGCCAAGAAGAGAAGCAUUCAUGAUGUCACUAGUGCUGCUGAUAUUACUGAACCUUCACAAGGACAAAAAUCUGAUAAGUUGAAAGGACCUUGUGGAGGAUAAUUACAGUGGCCAAUCACUGAAGCUUUCUACACAGAGAUGCUACCUUUACCAGGGCCAGUUAAAAACUGCACGACUGAUGCUAUUGAAGGGCCAUCAGCUGUUGACCCCGAGAAAUUCCGGCUUGGUGCUGCGGUUGGUAGUGAGUUGAAUAGUUCAUUUGCCGUCGUGGUUGAGUUCCUAUGAAGUAUAGAAGGCCAAAUCGCCGUACCGGCAGAGGGCAGUUAUGGAGUGUGUUGUGGAGUUGACACUAGGACAUCUCCAUCACUUAGCUUGCAACCAUCGGAUGCUGGUGGCUCUGGAAUGCACAUUCCUCCUGUCAAUAAUGUUAGGUAUGAUCCGGAAGAGCUAAUGGGCAAGCUGUUGAUUGGAUCCUGUCAAGUAGGUACUACCGUUAACACUGCAAGUUCGCGAAUACCAACUGCUGAUCAUAUUGGAGUCCAUGGUUGUAAAUCUUCAAGCAAUGGCUACAAGGAUGUUUUUGCAAGCACCAUGGGAGCUCUUGUUGGAGGUUUUUCUGUCGAUUCCAUGCAAUUACCAUCCAUUACUGGCAGCAGUAGUGGUAGAACUUAUCCCUGUUGGAAUCCUAGUAGCAUGGAUGACAAGUUAUUUGAUUUGGAAGACCUAUUCCCAGAUCACAUAUUUGGUCCUGGCAAAUAAGAAUCUGUCGUUUAUUGUGGUAAAUGAUAAUCUGUCCCUGGUUUCACUAGAGCAACUACUGCUUUGUUGUGGAUGAGCCAGUGCAGCUGGGCCCUAUUACUUCACGAACUCUCAUGCCAUUACGCGUUCCUUGUCUAGCUGGUUCAUUUGCAGCAUCUAUUAGUGGACUGUGGAUUGUUCGUCGUGUCCUAGUAGAGAUGUCUCUAUUUGUGAAUAUAGUGCGUGGAAUAACAAACUUUGUCAGUAGGUUAUGUACAUAGAACUCCUUUCUGUAAUUUGGUGUGCAAACAUGUCUUUAAAGUCCUGUUCAUCAAUAAAAAGCAUGCUUUAGUA